UUGGAGGUGUCAAAAGUUUAUCCUUGCUUUCUUCUGUUUUCUUCAGUUUUCUUUGUAUUUCUUUGUCUUGGCGGUAUUGGAUAUUCGUAUAAAACCUCUGAAGAUUUCCCUGAGUGCUGUCUUCGUCAGUAUUCGCCAUGCUAUAUGGGACUAGUUUUACCAAUGACUAUUCCAGUGUUUGUUGUUGUUAUGUACAUAAAUUGGAUGGGACUAAAGCUGUUUCAGCACAACUGAGAUAUAAGGAUUGAUAAAUGCUGACAGUUGGGAUUACUGUGGAUGCUGUUCACAGCUUUUUUGGUCUCUGGUCAUUCUAGUAGACUAAAUUCUUGGAAUUAAAUUGGGAAAAAAUAAGGUGGUGAUAUAUGAAAUAUCAGUCAACCAUUUUAAAACCAGUUUAACCAGUUUCCUAGCGGGAUGUAGAGGUUUGACAAUCUAGUUGUUCAACUAAAGGAUUAUUUCUGAUGACUUACCUGGCUGGAUGAAUAUAUACAGCAACAUGUACAUACGUAUAAUUUAUUCCAAAUUUAAAAAAAGUUGUUGUAUAAAAUAGAAAAAUAAAUAAGAAUUAGGCUCCUUGUGUUUAUCUAACUCUUAUCAAAAAGCUUUAGGUUGAAGGGCUGAACUCACCGGUGCUUUUAUUAAGGGGACCCACCACCGCCACCACCACCACACCCCUUCAAAUAUUUCCACAUCAAUUUAUCAUUUCCCCAAGCAUACAUUGAAUGAUAGUACACGGUCUAUUGGACCAUUGUUUCUUUAUUUUGAAAGGAUAAGUGGGUUACACAAGGCACAAAAAACA